rnacentral:rRNA from 1 species
AGUGAACGCUGGCGGUAGGCCUAACACAUGCAAGUCGAACGGCAGCACAGUAAGAGCUUGCUCUUACGGGUGGCGAGUGGCGGACGGGUGAGGAAUACAUCGGAAUCUACCUUUUCGUGGGGGAUAACGUAGGGAAACUUACGCUAAUACCGCAUACGACCUACGGGUGAAAGCAGGGGAUCUUCGGACCUUGCGCGAUUGAAUGAGCCGAUGUCGGAUUAGCUAGUUGGCGGGGUAAAGGCCCACCAAGGCGACGAUCCGUAGCUGGUCUGAGAGGAUGAUCAGCCACACUGGAACUGAGACACGGUCCAGACUCCUACGGGAGGCAGCAGUGGGGAAUAUUGGACAAUGGGCGCAAGCCUGAUCCAGCCAUACCGCGUGGGUGAAGAAGGCCUUCGGGUUGUAAAGCCAUUUUGUUGGGAAAGAAAAGCAGCAGGUUAAUACCCCGCUGUUCUGACGGUACCCAAGAAUAAGCACCGGCUAACUUCGUG